AUUGAACGCUGGCGGCAUGCCUUACACAUGCAAGUCGAACGGGCAGCACGGGAGCAAUCCUGGUGGCGAGUGGCGAACGGGUGAGUAAUAUAUCGGAACGUGCCCGGUCGUGGGGGAUAACGUAGCGAAAGCUACGCUAAUACCGCAUACGAUCUACGGAUGAAAGCGGGGGAUCGCAAGACCUCGCGCGAUUGGAGCGGCCGAUAUCAGAUUAGGUAGUUGGUGAGGUAAAGGCUCACCAAGCCGACGAUCUGUAGCUGGUCUGAGAGGACGACCAGCCACACUGGGACUGAGACACGGCCCAGACUCCUACGGGAGGCAGCAGUGGGGAAUUUUGGACAAUGGGCGCAAGCCUGAUCCAGCAAUGCCGCGUGCAGGAUGAAGGCCUUCGGGUUGUAAACUGCUUUGUACGGAACGAAACGGUGAGCUCUAAUACAGUUUGCUAAUGACGGUACCGUAAGAAUAAGCACCGGCUAACUACGUG
rnacentral:rRNA from 1 species